UACAGAGGUCUCAAGCGUUGUUCGGAUUCAUUGGGCGUAAAGGGCGCGUAGGCGGCGGGGCAAGUCGGGUGUGAAAUCUCAGGGCUCAACCCUGAAACUGCACUCGAUACUGCUCUGCUUGAGGACUGGAGAGGAGACUGGAAUUUACGGUGUAGCGGUGAAAUGCGUAGAUAUCGUAAGGAAGACCAGUGGCGAAGGCGGGUCUCUGGACAGUUCCUGACGCUGAGGCACGAAGGUCAGGGGAGCAAACGGG
rnacentral:rRNA from 1 species